rnacentral:rRNA from 1 species
AUUGAACGCUGGCGGCAGGCCUAACACAUGCAAGUCGAGCGGAUGAAGGGAGCUUGCUCCUGGAUUCAGCGGCGGACGGGUGAGUAAUGCCUAGGAAUCUGCCUGGUAGUGGGGGAUAACGUCCGGAAACGGGCGCUAAUACCGCAUACGUCCUGAGGGAGAAAGUGGGGGAUCUUCGGACCUCACGCUAUCAGAUGAGCCUAGGUCGGAUUAGCUAGUUGGUGGGGUAAAGGCCUACCAAGGCGACGAUCCGUAACUGGUCUGAGAGGAUGAUCAGUCACACUGGAACGGAGACACGGUCCAGACUCCUACGGGAGGCAGCAGUGGGGAAUAUUGGACAAUGGGCGAAAGCCUGAUCCAGCCAUGCCGCGUGUGUGAAGAAGGUCCUCGGAUUGUAAAGCACUUUAAGUUGGGAGGAAGGGCAGUAAGUUAAUACCUUGCUGUUUUGACGUUACCAACAGAAUAAGCACCGGCUAACUUCGUG